ACUUUUACGCCGAAAUCUGGUUUUAUUCAAUUUUUUUGAAUGAAUUAAAAGGGAAUUUGGUGAAAAUCCAAAACUGUUCCCGCAACUGUAAGUUUAUGCCGAACUGUUGUUUCGGCACCUCAAAAUAGAGGUUAUUAUUUACUUCAAUACCACUGAGAGAUUGCCACAGUUGACUGAAAAAAAGUCAACUUCGCAAUGACAUUCUUGGGAAGGUGAAAUAAUAAAGAUAAGUCAGGAGACCUGCCAAUUUCAACAAAGAAGU
rnacentral:ncRNA from 2 species